UCUAUCUAUCUAUCUAUCUAUCUAUCUAUCUAUCUAUUGUUAGACACCUUAUUUAUAUAGGUUAGUUAUUUAGCGACGCACCAUAGGAGACGCAUAUUGAACGGGACUAGUGACGUUUGGGAUAUGUUGGGUUAGAGACCGGAAAAUCAGUUAGCGAUAGAACACUCCAGGGUAACGACGUGUUUAGUGACAGAGACUUCUACUGUGGCCCUUUUAUCAGAAUAAAUCUAUGUACAAUUGUUCAUCAGAGUCGACUACAUCUCUUCACUUGUUAAAAACAGAUGUACUUGUUUUUGUCUGACUUGUUGUUCAACUACACGUAAUACACCCGAACAAUUAUACCCAAACGCUUGCUGAGUAAUUGGUUGACUUCAAGACAGCCUGAAUAAGCAACAUCACAGUGGCGACCCCGAACCUCGAAGCCGGACCCCUGAUGAAGCCGAACAUCGAACCGGACCUCGAAGCAGAACGUUUACUCAGGUGAGGGUCGUGCACUCGAAGUUAUAAGAUUUCAUCGGAGUACGGCUGAACACAGCAUCAUCGCAGAGUGACUUUGUUCUGGAUCUACAAGCAGUCAUCGCCUGUUUGAUCGCACGUUCAACGAGCCGUUAACUCAGGGUGACCUUCGUCAGGACAGUAAUCAUCGCAACGUCUGGUUGAGUAGACUUAACCAGUAUAUUAUCAAAGCCUGAUCUUCAUAUGCUGAAUCGACCUACAACCAGAGAAACCGUUCAUUCAUAACGGGUGAGAGAUCGUUAGUGAACCUGUUGGACAUAUUUUUUCUUCGUCAUAGGAGCCACAUAGAGUAUCAAGUUUUACCUCGUCAGUUUCGAGAAGGACAGUUUGCCCGCUGUCAGAAGUAUUGUGAGUACUACAAGUUUGGUAGCUAACUAAAUCGCUCUGUCGUCUUACCCUUGGAGAGAUUCUUGUGGAGCAGUUUGCUCAUUGAACCGGUUGCUUACCACGUUUAUAACGGUCACUGUGUUUAACCUUUGGAAGGUUAGUGAAGUAAUCUUUAUCAGUACUGAACAUUGAUAUAUUUAGUAUUCGUCGGUCUAGACCAUACCUAGACUUGUUAGCAGUGAAGUUGUGGAAACAGCUACAUCCACUUAAUUUCGUUGAAAACCGUUAAUCGUGUAACGGAACGUCGUCGGAGGUGACCUUGGUUUCACCUAGUCUACAUUGGACAGUUUGGUCUAGUGAAGCAGAGUACAACAGCAAACUUCGUCGUACUACCAGAGUAGCAGCAGAAGCAGUGAACUAUUUUAGAAAAUCGUUAUUCGUCAGUCGUCCAGAUCAAGUUGCCGUCAAGAGACUGUUAUUUGUCAGUAGUCGUCUACACAAGUCAAGUCAUCGCCAAAAGAACCGUUAACCUAUUCGUCAGUAACUGUGUACACAAAGUCGUCAGAACUACACAUACGGUCAUCAACAGUCGUCAAAGAAACUGAAACAUUUUGCUGUGGCAUAUCAGGACAUCUGUGGCAUUACGUGGGAUACUGGUAGCACCGGAGAACAGAGUCAGAACUGGAAGAGAGGCAGUGGAAUUUGUUGUGAUCUAGCAUAUUCGGGAGUCCGAACAAAGGGAUCUUUCUUAUCAAAAGCUAAGUGCCAUUUUUCUUAUUAGUGUAUGUUUAGAUUGCCCUUAGAAAUAGAUUUUGUCUAAAUUUGGUAUGUUAGCCUGAGUAAAAUCAGGUGGUGCUGAAGCCUUAAACCCGUUCGGGGUAAAGACAUAAUUUAGAUGAAAAGCUAUAUUAUACGUUUAGGGUUGUAAUUUGUUUUGUUUGUAUAAACGUCAUAUCCGUUGUUGCCUAGUUACUUCGUGACGUUAUCAUUGUGUGCCAUAUUGUCAUAUCCCAACCCAUAGCGAUAGUCUCAUUUAAUUAUUUCAUUUGUUUAUAUUAUUUUAAAUUAUUUAUUUUUAUUAAUUUAAUUAGAUCUGUAUUUUUUUUCACUUAAUGAUAGAAAGUGCGGGUAGGAUUCUUUUACUGUAAAUCAGACUAAAAUAAUUUUAGUUUGAGCGGUUAAAAUCAAAUAGGAUUUUGCCAUGAGAAUAAUGCCGAAACUGGCUAUGUAGUCAAACACUAUCGUCUGGCUAAAUAUAGAUCUACAAAUUUUUGUACAUCUCUUUGGUACAAUUAAAUCAUCUAGACUCUAAUUUGAAAUAUUAUUAAUUGAAAAAUGAAUGAAGAUUACUGCCAGUGAAGAACAUUUGUGAGUGUAUGACGUGCCCAUAAGAUGCCACAUUUUCCUCCAUGAUGAACUGUGUACUAAUGAAGAUGAUUCUGGAAUGUUAUGAACAUUGACAUUGAAUAUGAGGAACUGUCAAGUAAGGAUGAAGAUGUCAAGAUGAAGAUGUCAAGAUUUUAUGUUUGUUGUCUUCCCCUUAAAUUGAAAAUGCCCUUGUAAGACUUGACAGUAGUGGAAAAA